AUCGACGACGGUGUUGUCCCCCGUCGGAGUUACACUAGACGGUCCAAUUUCUCAGCUGGGUUGAAUCGACCCCGACGAUCAUCUGCACGUGAAGGAGAGUUGCUUGAGAAGAUGACUCAGAUGGAGGAGAGUAUGACGCAAUAUAAGCAACAAGUGCAGCAACAGAUGCAACAAAUGCAAAAUUGGAUGCUACGUCAGAUGUACGGAGGUGCCGGAACUCAGUUCGGCAUGCCGCCUUAUCAACAACCCCCUAUCAUCACACAUCCGGUGUCUGGACAAUCAUCGGAUCGCUCCCCUGCAGCGGCGGAUGGAUCACAGGGUUCUGCAACUUCUGUCCAAGACCAAUUGAUGCCAUCAGGUGUGAUAGGAGGGCAAAUGAUGUCGUGGGCACCUCGCUAGCCAGACAUUUGGCCACCGAUGCAAACACAGAUGCCAUCGCCGAUGCCGUGGGGAUUUCCUCCUAGCGGGCAGUCACACUCACCAUGAUUGCCCUCACACUCACUAGGAUCAGGUUCGGGCUCACAUCAUGCUAGUCCGCCUCCAGAUCAGAGCACGUUUAUGGACUUAUUGAUGAACACAAGUGGCGACGGCUCCAAUGACCCACCAACGGAAUGAAUUAAUAUGGAGGCUUGUGUGGAACUUACUAUCAUUGCGUUUUGUAUGGACUUGAACUUGUUUCAGAUGGAUUUGAACUUCUU